rnacentral:pre_miRNA from 1 species
AGCGUGAUUGAUGGAUCAUAUGGUAAGAUUAUAUUUAGCUUUGUAAGAAACUGCCAAACUGUCUUCCAAAGUGGCUGUGCCAUUUUUCGUUGUGACCAGUAAU